UCCGGCUUAUCACCGGCAGUCCCUCUAGAGUGCCCAACUAAAUGAUGGCAACUAAAGGCAAGGGUUGCGCUCGUUGCGGGACUUAACCCAACAUCUCACGACACGAGCUGACGACAGCCAUGCAGCACCUGUGUUACGGUUCCCUUUCGGGCACACCUCCAUCUCUGGAGGCUUCCGUACAUGUCAAGGGUAGGUAAGGUUUUUCGCGUUGCAUCGAAUUAAUCCACAUAAUCCACCGCUUGUGCGGGUCCCCGUCAAUUCCUUUGAGUUUCGGUCUUGCGACCGUACUCCCCAGGCGGAGGACUUAGCGCGUUAGCUACGACACUGAAAGGCUUACCCCUCCAACGUCUAGUCCUCAUCGUUUAUGGCGUGGACUAC
rnacentral:misc_RNA from 1 species